rnacentral:tRNA from 1 species
GCAGGUGUGGCGGAACUGGCAGACGCAUACGGUUCAGGACCGUAUGGACUUUAAAAGUCCUUAGAGGUUCAAAUCCUCUCACCUGCA